rnacentral:lncRNA from 1 species
GGGGUGGGUGGGUAUUUUUUGCAACAUUUUAAUCAUGUGGGGCCAUCCAUAUGAGUAUUCUGAAGGGGUUCAUGCACAGAUUAAUUCCCUCUCUUUCUUUCUUAUUGUACAUUAGACAUUUUUUGCAGGAGACCUCUUAAAUGCAGUGUGGUAUCCAAAGCCUUCCAAACUAACCCUAAUUUUCUUUUUAAAGAGACGAAAGUGACUUCUAGAAUGCGUUUUCUUUAUCCUGCUGCGAUUUGCAGCGGCUUUCUUCAUACGAGUGAAGUUGCUCAUUUUUUAUUCUGUGUUGAUUUUAAAAAAGGAACAUUAAUGGAAAGUUUGAUAUUUUUGGUGAACGGACUGUAGAGAGUUUGAACUGCACUCGGAGAUAAUGGAAAAGAUAAUGAGCUGCCUUCUCUCUGGGAUCCGCUACUAUCUAUAACCGUCGUCAGUGGUCUAGUUUGAGAAUUUAAUUAAUUUCUUAGUUUCUAUAAUUCGAUCUAAGUUUGCAGUUUUAAUUCUUUUCACUUUUGACAUCUAAUACAGGUCCUGUAGUAGAAGAUAUGUUCCAUUGGCAAGCAAUGAUUAUGAGACCUUCUUAUAGUCCUUAUUCUGGAGGUAUAUUUUUGGUUCUUUUUCCUCCCAAUUACCCUUUUAAGCCUCCUAGGUAUGCUUGUAUCCUGUACAUUAGUUGUAUAUUACUCCCAAUCUUUGAGUCAUUUGAUCACUUGUAUUCCUUGGGACUCCAUAAUGAAAAGCAGAUAACUGGGCAGGCAGAGAUAUCUUUCUUGUUACUAGGUGUUGAAAACCUGCAUAUAUUAUCAGUUUCUAAGCUAAACAAUAUAAACAUAUUAUUAUGUAGAAUGAUUUACCUUGUCCCCAAGUGAAAUUUUGCAAAUUAAGUUCACACGAGUUCAUUCUCUACUUUUCCUGGUUGUUCUUUUGCCUGUUGUGUCUUGCAAAAAUAAUUUCCUGAAAUUUCAACUUCUUUUUCCUUGGAAGUUAAUUCCACCAAAAUUUGCCUUAGAAACUUUUAAACGAAUGCCUCUAUUUCUUGCAGUACAGAACAGAAUUAGUCACACGAGUCAUCAACAUUUGUAGACAUAAGGCUCCAGUAGCAUGUUUGGCUAACUUGAAAGUUUUAUAAGUAAAUUAGUAAGUUUUAAAUGAAUAUAUUUUAAUUGAUGAUAGUUGAAAAUAACUAGCUUAAAAGUCCCAAACAGGGCUUCUUUUGAGCUGCUUUAGGUUGUAUUUUUAAGGCUUAGCCAAACAUGCACAUAUAAUUUUGUGACAACUGAUUUUAGUUUCUUCGUGUUGUUGUUGCAAUGACUAUUAUUUUCUCCCUUCUGUCAAAUUGCUUUAUUUCUAAUAACAAUCUUGCUAAUUCAAACCUUUACUCUCAAUAUAGUAAACACGAUUAAGCCAUAAUCCUGAUCAUUCUCCAUUUUUUGCAGGUAUGCAAAAUGUGACCCAGUACCGAGCAAUAUUAUAGUCAAUUGCAAGAUUAUGAGUGAGAAAGUGUCAGAACGAGGCAAUAAACGAAAGUGGAACAAAAAAAAAGGUUCAAAAUAAAGCAGGUACUGUUGCUGUUUAAACAUUUAAGUGAGUGUGCUAUUCAGUUUGUUCAAUAGAUGUGGGAGUAGUAGACGAGGAAGAAGUUUAUCAUUUUUUGAAUGUUUUUCCAAGUAAGGUUUGAUUAAGCAUCCUCACUGUAUGAAAUUAUCUGUGACAAGCCUGAUUUAGUUGAUGAUCAUGUAAGAUUUAACACCCAAUUACGUUUGAUUAAUUGUAGACCAUUUUGUUUGACUGCAGAUGUGGCUAAACACAGAUCGGUUGAUAUUUGAACUGUUUUAGCUUCAUACCAAGGUCAUGAUAUUCCCAAAGAGUUCAUAAAACAAUCUAAAGAGCAUCAAAAGUCAGUUAUCCUCUUCAUCGUAUAUCUCAUUGUGGAUUUUCUAUUGGAAAAGUCAAUUAUCUUCUUCAUCACAUAUCUUAUUAUGGGUUUUCUGUUGGCAUGAGUAGAUUUUUUAUCCUUUUUGCCUUUUAAUUUGUUCCGUGUUCCAUUUCUAACCAGAUCUCGAGCAUAGGAUAGGUAAUUGAGAGAUAGAGCUAGCCUAUUUGUUAUAGGGAAUCUAACCUUUACAUGAUGCCACCAUAAAGCGAUAGCGAGACGCAUAUCUUCUUAUCUUUUCUUCUAUUUGUCUUGUGUAUCAAUAAUUUUAUUAGGUCUUUAUUUUCCGGUGUAAUCCUGGAGCCUUUCCAUUGACAAUCGAUCUUGCCUAAGUACGACGUAGAAGAGAAAAAGUUUAGGAUUGAGAUUUAAGCAGAAAUUUUUUCCAAUCUGCUCCAUUGUAUAUUUUAGUGUACGAUAUCAAUUGACAUGAGGGGAUUUUCAUUUCAUUGCCUAUUCAUUUUUUCCUGCUUUCUUAUGGUGUGGAGACAAUGAAUGAGCUUAAUAGCAUCAAUGGAUCAUGGAGUUUGUUUUCUUGCUUUCUUAUGUAUUUAGGCUUUUAACUUAAUAGAAAUAGAAGCUUUUUUUUUUAUUUUUUUUUUGGGGUCUCCUCUCUACUCUAAUGCUUGUUUCUUGAAAUUCUCUGAUUUGUAAACCAUAUCCAUUAAUUUGUGCGAUACUAUUUUUGUUGAUUUUAUGCCAAUCUAGCAUCAGUAAUUAAAAAAAGUUGAAUGGAAGUAUUAUGGAGAGGAUGUGUCCUUGAUACGAUAUUGUCUUGGUUGUUGACUCAAAUAGCAAACCAUCUUCAUAAGAACGAGAUAAAGAAAGUUCUCCUAUUGUGGUUCUUGACCACCUCAAUGUAAAUAAGUUUGGAACAAAUUGGUUGCCAUGGUAUUUCAAUGGCUUGUCUUGGAUUUUCUUAUUAAUAUUAUUCAACAUGAUAUGUUGUGUUAACUUUUUUUCUUUGUUUUGGUGAUUUUCACCUGUUGAGCUCUAUGCCAAUUACAAUAUAAAAAUGCUACUUCCAUUUCUUUGUAGUAUUCAUCAUUAUAAACUGGAAAAUAUUUAUUCUAUGAGUGAGCUAUUCUUCUUGAUCUUCCGUCACCUGUCAUCUCUAAAACUUUGUGAAAUUUUAUUUCAAGCUUAUGGCAUUUGUGUCAAAUGAGAUUUAUUGAGAGAGCGAAUAUUAUCCUUGAAGGAUGGGAAACUGAAAGCGCUUACUGUAGUAAUAAUUACUAAUAAAUUGGGGGAUAUUGAAGAGAUAUUCAUCUCUACUCCCAUUAUAAUUCCAGCUUUUCUGCUUUGAAAUUGCUCAAUAAGAUAAUAUAUCUCAUUAUUUUGUGCAGGCCAUCAAAUUCACAAGUAUGCAACAUGAUGACAACUUGAAUAAACCUGAGAUGGUAAGCUGUGGGCUCUUAAUGCCAAUCAAUUGCAAUUGCAAAAGCAUGAUUACUGCAUGUUUCAAAUUUCAAGUUUUCUUUGCUAGUUUAUUUAAUUUUUAUUCUUUGGCAGGUUGGGCUAUUGUUGGAGUAUACUGUUGGCAACUUUGAUCCCCUAUAUAUUGUAAAUAUGUUGUCAAAUGACUUGGAGAUUCCUCGAUAAGUAUGUUCUCUACUUUUUUUUAUCAAUCUGGUGAUCAGUUUGCAUAGCGUCUUUUUCUACAAUUACAUGAACAUUUUUCAUGUUGAAUACAAUGUGGAUGAAAAGCAUUUCGAUUUUUCUGUUGGGUUCUGUUAUUUUACCUAGACUACAUGUUUACAUGUGACUUUUAGACCAUACAUUUGAACAAGAUAUUUUCCUAGAAUAUACUCUAGAUAGACUUUGUAAAACCACAUAAUCUUCUCGACACAUUACCACAUUUUAUCACCGCAUCUUUUACUUAGAUAUUUUCAUAGAUUUUUCUAGACAAUGUGUUUAGAAACGUUAGGCAUGUCGGAUUUUUUAAUUGAAUUGGGGCUAUGAGCAAAAUCCUUAAACCCAUAUUACUUAGUUCAAAAAUAAGUUUACUUUUCAACAGGUUGUAAAGUCAAGGGUUCAGUUACACUUGCUCUUCUGGUUUUCACUCCAAUAUUUAUGAGGACCUCUAAAUACACUACUAUUUAUAUUUUGCUUGUUGCUUCAAACUUUUAUGUAAUUGUAGUUUGUAUGUUUUACGCACAUUGAUUUACGCAUAGCCUAUUCUUUUCAUGAAUAUUGAAGAGAAUAUGAAUAACAUAUUAGCUUUUAAUUACUGUAAUUAUCCUUUUGACUCUUCAUUUGGUGCAGCUAGCCUACAUGAUACUUAUUCAUCAAUGUUCAUAACUCUAAUUGCAUAAAACAAAAAGAAAAAAAAAUUAAGAAAUUCCUAAUUCUGGUAUUUAAACAUACGCCAAAGAUGUUACUUUUUAUCUCCUCCUAAAAGUUUAUCAUUUUCAUACCAAAAUAAGUAGUGGAAGCUACUAAUAUCUUUGUCUUCGGUAUUUGGAAGGUUGGUGGUUUAUGUUACAUUUAAUUCGAUCAUAGCAGAAAAAAUGGUUAAUGUUGUUUUACUAAAGACGGUUUAGGCACUUCAUUAUUUCUUCUCAUUUUUCCAGCUUUUUGGGGGUAACUAAAAGCUGAACUUACUCUAUUAUUGAGUGUCAGAGUUUAACUUGUAUUCAUUUUGUUAACCUUCAAUCAAGUAACUUCACAAUACCACCAUUGUCAUGUAACCCAACCAUUCUUGAUUAAGGCUGCUAGAGUGGAUGAAUAAAUGUUGGAAGAAUUCAUAACUGAGAUGAUAAAAUAUGGAAAGUCAUAAUUCUUCAUUAAGCACUAAUUGUUCUCACUAAAGUACAACUUAUGGCUCCCAACUGCUCUUUUUUAACGCAUCAGGCAUCAGCAUGACAAUUUCUGUUUUGCUUAUAUUUUUAAUGUAUCUUAGAUCAAUUUUGUUAUGUCCUUUUACAUGUGUGUCUAUUAUGCAUUCGCAGAUGUUGUGAUUCCAAUUAUUUUGCUUCGUGUUAGUGUGUGUAUUUGUUUUACAACACUUUGGCACACAUCACGUUGGCUUUUGUUUUGCAUCAGUUGUGCUAACUUGGUUGAUAUCCAUCAGUGCUCUCGAUUUGUACAAUAUUAUACAUUGGAAUCCACAUGUUUAUCAAGUGCUUUCCCCAUAUUACAUGCUGAAAGUAUUUGAAGAAGACGAGAACGAAGAUGGAUGCUGCUGGUAGAAUCUUUUCCUGCAUAACAGGUGAACCUCUUACAAUGUGGACAUAAGGAAAAUGUUGUGCAUAGCAUUUAUAAUUACAGAUGCAAGAAAGUGAAAGACAACAUGCAGCACAUUAUUGACCUCUUUCAAGAGUCCUAAUAAUCUAGUGCACUACUUAGCAUAAAUGUAACGGAAAAAUCUUGACAUAAAGGGGCAAACUGAAUAUUCCAUGUACUUAUUGAUAAAACAAUUUAUAUGCUUUAAUCAAACUGCCAUUUGAUGCCUGAUGAAUAUUCUUAGAAUUAAAGGGGUAAACUUGAUAUCCUUUUUGGACACCGUCGUCCGUCUCUCUCCAAACAAAACAGGAAUGAGAUCAGCAGCAGGACCUUUUUGCACACCUUAACUGUAUGAAAGUAGCUUUCAUCUAACGUUGUGUCACCUAUAAUAAUUUAGCAUUUCUAUUUCAUUGUGUUCUGUUAUUGAUUAGAGUCUAAUUGAUAAUUUUAAUUAUCUUUGGUUGAAUUUAUAUUUCAUUGGGAGUUUAGGGACUAUUAAUGCAAUUUGAAUUAGGUUUGCCUUGUGUCUAAGAGCCACAAAAUACAUUGGGGGACAUUUUUGAUUGAUUGAUUGAAUCAUAAAAAUAUAAUUGUGAGAUUUUUGUCCAG